rnacentral:pre_miRNA from 1 species
GUCAAUAAGCAAACCAGUCAAAGGGCACCUCUCCAUUGGCAGGUAAUAUUGUGAUUACUGCUGUAAUUAAUUAUGCAAAGUGGGACUCCCCGGCCCUGCACUUCAUUUCACAGACUUGCCAAAGGAGAGUUGCCCUGUGACAGAUUCAGCUUAAUGC